AAGUGCUGCGAGGCAUUGAGCUAACCUGUACUAAUUGCCCGUGAGGCUUAACCAUACAACACCCAAGGGGUUU
rnacentral:rRNA from 1 species